UACGAAGGGGGCUAGCGUUGCUCGGAAUUACUGGGCGUAAAGGGAGCGUAGGCGGGUCGUCAAGUUGGGGGUGAAAGCCCAGGGCUCAACCUUGGAAUUGCCUUCAAAACUGACGAUCUAGAGUAUGGAAGAGGUAAGUGGAACUCCGAGUGUAGAGGUGAAAUUCGUAGAUAUUCGGAAGAACACCAGUGGCGAAGGCGACUUACUGGUCCAUGACUGACGCUGAGGCUCGAAAAGCGUGGGGGAGCAAACAGGG
rnacentral:rRNA from 1 species